ensembl:lncRNA
AGCAGUUACUGCUUUGCCCAAUAUCCUGCUUUAAUUAUGGUUGAGGAUUUCUGGUAUAAAAAAAGUUAAACUAUCCUUUGUAAGAAUAAUUAGGUGAAUUGUUUCUGUGAGAUACCAACACAAUCAAGGGACUGAUAUUCCCUGAAAUUAUGUUAAAUUCAGGAAGAUACCUACAAAGUCGCAUAGAGAGGGCCAUGGCAUUCACAGAUCUGAGAUCUAUGGAAAAUGUGCUGUUAGGAAGGUCACUUCUACAUGUCCAAAGGUUGUCUAGGAAAGUAAUAUUUGGAUUAAAGGACAAAGAAGUUACCCAGAAGAAGUAUAUCUGUAUGCGUGCUGUACUGGCCCUGGGGUAAGAAAGCCACUAAACCACCACCAGCAAUAAAUCUAUUUUUUUUAAGUGGCUUGGAUUUUUCACUCAUUUGUUACCAUUCCCCUUCAAAGGACGAUAGAGAAGUUUGUGUGAUGGCUCUACAUCUUUCCUUCCUCUCUUUACAACCAAACCAUUUGGAGUCCUGGGGGGUGGUGUAAUUGUGAACUGUAGAAGGUCAACUUAGUCAUCAUUUCAGGACACAAAUGCAGUAAUGUUGGUAGGAAAGUGCAUAGGUUUUUGGGGGGUUUGUUUGGUUGGUUGGUUGGUUUUUGUUUGUUUUUUUGUUUGGUUUUUUUUUUUUUUUUUUUUUUUUUUUGAGUGGCAUCAGGAAAUUCAUUAGACAUCUAAAGCCCAGUAAAGGCUAGUAUGUCCAAGAUAGAGUGGUUAGUUAUGAAGUUUGUAGAUAUAAAUGUCAACAACUGAAGUCAGUAAAAGGUGAAAAAUAAGCAGAAACCCUAUAAAAUGGAAAACUUUUUAGGAAAUAUGGGUAAGAUGUAGUCAACAGGUUUUAACACGCAAAAUGUUCACAAUACAUUUCACCACUAUUCCUCAAGGUCCUUACCAGGCACAGAGAUGGUAAGCAGUCCAUAAGAUAACAUUCAGAUUAGAUAUUCUCCUGUUGAAAGCUGG